rnacentral:rRNA from 1 species
UACGUAGGGUGCAAGCGUUAAUCGGAAUUACUGGGCGUAAAGCGUGCGCAGGCGGUUGUGCAAGACAGAUGUGAAAUCCCCGGGCUCAACCUGGGAACUGCAUUUGUGACUGUAGAGCUGGAGUGCGGCAGAGGGGAUGGAAUUCCGCGUGUAGCAGUGAAAUGCGUAGAUAUGCGGAGGAACACCGAUGGCGAAGGCAGGUCUCUGGGCUGACACUGACGCUCAUGCACGAAAGCGUGGGGAGCAAACAGG